rnacentral:rRNA from 1 species
UAAAAGUUACUAUAAGGCAAAGAAUGGAUGCCCUGACACCAAAUUUCGAUGAAGGACGCGACUAGCUGCGAUAAGCUUCGGUGAGCUGCUUGUAAGCUUUGACCCGGAGAUUUCCGAAUGGGGCAACCCCUCCCAAGUAAUGUUGGGAGACCCACCUACUAAGUAGGUGUGGAGAACACGCAGAGAAUUGAAACAUCUUAGUACCUGCGGAAAAGAAAUCAACAGAGAUUCCCCUAGUAGUGGCGAGCGAACGGGGAUCAGCCCAAACCUUUUUAUUUCGAUAGAAAGGGGUUGUAGGACUUCAAUGUGGAAUAUACGUUUUUAGAAGAACAGUCUGGAAAGGCUGACCAUAGAGGGUUACAGUCCCGUAAUUGAAAAGAAUGUAUUACCUAGAAGUAUCCUGAGUAGGAUCGGACACGUGUAAUCCGGUUUGAAUCUGGGGAGACCACUCUCCAAGGCUAAAUAGAUUUGGUGAUCGAUAGCGGAUAGUACCGUGAGGGAAUGGUGAAAAGAACCCCUGUGAGGGGAGUGAAAUAGAUCCUGAAAUUCUUUGCUGACAUGGACUCGGAGCUGCAUUUAUGCAGUGACGGGGUGCUUUUUGUAGAACGAACCAACGAGUUAGCGGUAUGGUGCGAGGUUAAGGGAGUAUUACCCGGAGCCGUAGUGAAAGCGAGGAUGAAUAGUCCGAUUAGUACCAUGCCCUAGACCCGAAGCCGGAUGAGCUACCCAUGGCCAGGUUGAAGUUUAACGAAAGUUAAAUGGAGGACCGAACUCAAGAGUGUUGCAAGACUCUGGGAUGAGCUGUGGGUUGUAGAGAAAUUCUUAUCGAAUUCGGCGAUAGCUGGUUCUCCUCGAUAUAGCUUUAGGGCUAGCCUUGUUUUCGAAACAUAAAGGGGUAGAGCACUGUUUCGGCUAGGGAGCGAAAUAAGCUUACCAACCCGAUGCAAACUUCGAAUACUUUAUGUGGAUUAACAGGAGUCAGACGGUGACAGCGAAGUGCCAUCGUCAUGAGGGAAACAGCCCAGACCAUCAUCUAAGGUCCCUAAUAAACGUUUAGUGGUAAAGGAUGUACAGUCGCAUAGACAACCAGGAUGUUGGCUUAGAAGCAGCCAUCAUUUAAAGAAAGCGUAAUAGCUCACUGGUCAAUGCGAUUGCGCGCCUAAAAUAUAACGGGGCUCAAACGUUUAACCGAAGAUGUGGAUUUAUAUCAGUUUCGACUGAUUUAAGUGGUAGAGGAGCGUUCAUGCCAGCAGUGAAGGUCAAUCGUGAGGUUGGCUGGAGCGGCAUGAAGUGAGAAUGUUGGUAUAAGUAACCAAAUGAAAGUGAAAAUCUUUCACACCGUAUGCCCAAGGUUUCCCAAGCCACGGUUAUCGACUUGGGGUUAGUCGGUCCUAAGGUCAGGCUGAAAAGCGUAGCUGAUGGACAACAGGUUAAUAUUCCUGUACAAUGUUAUUUUCGCCAAAGCAAUACUGGAUAAGUUGCACAAGUCUAUCGUACCACUUCGGUGGUAUAUCAGAUGAGUGUGACCUGAAGGUGGCGCUAACUCAGGGGGGACGCGGAAGGAUAAUGAGAGCGUGUUAAGAAUUCACGUAUAAGUAGUAAGCCCAUGUCUUGAUAGGUAAAUCCGUCAAGAUUCGCGAGCUACGAUGUCGAAUGGUUGGACGAAAGUCUGAUCGAGUCUCUGCGCUUCAUCCGCCAAGAAAAACCUCGGUAGUGAGAAAAUAAUGUUACCGUACCGCAAACCAACUCCGGUGGGCGAGUAGAAUAUACGAAGGUGGACGGGAUAACUCUUGUUAAGGAACUCGGCAAAACAGUAGGCGUAACUUCGGGAUAAGCCUUACUUUUUCGCUCAUGUUUUCAUGAAGUGGCGAAGUCGCAGCUAAUGAUUCCAGGCAACUGUUUACCAAAAACACAGGUCUCUGCAAACCCGUAAGGGUAAGUAUAGGGGCUGACGCUUGGCCAGUGCCAGAAGGUCACGAGGAGGGGUUUACGCUCCGAAUCUAAGCCCUGGUGAACGCCGGCCGUAACUAUAACGGUCCUAAGGUAGCGAAAUUCCUUGUCAGGUAAGUUCUGACCCGCACGAAUAGCGUAAUGGUUCUGGAAACUGUCUCGACAAGAGUCCCGGUGAAAUUGCAAAGUCGGUAAAAAUGCCGACUCAUUGUGGUAGGGCGAAGAGACCCCGUGCAGCUUUACUGCAGCUUGGCAUUGAUUUGAGGUAUAAUUUGCGCAGGAUAGGUGGGACACUUUGAAGUCUGGAUUUUGGUUCAGGCGGAGUGGCCGUUGAGAUACCACCCUUAUUAUAUUUUGACUCUAACCUCUAGGUUUUAAUCAACCAGGGAGACAGUGUUUGGCAGGCAGUUUAUCUGGGGCGGAUGCCUCCUAAAGAGUAACGGAGGCGUACAAAGGUUGGCUAAUUUCGGAUGGAAACCGAAAGUGUCGUAUAAGUGCAUAAGCCAGCUUAACUGCAAGGCAUACAAGCCGAGCAGAUACGAAAGUAGGUACUAGUGAUCCGGUAGUUCCACGUGGGUGGACUAUCGCUCAACGGAUAAAAGUUACGCCGGGGAUAACAGGCUAGUCUGGUCCAAGAGUUCACAUCGACGACCAGGUUCGGCACCUCGAUGUCGGCUCGUCGCAUCCUGGGGGUGAAGAAGCUCCCAAGGGUUUGGCUGUUCGCCAAUUAAAGCGGCACGCGAGCUGGGUUCAAAACGUCGUGAGACAGUUUGGCCUCUACCCUCCACAAUCGUCAGAGAUUUGCAGGAAUUUGUCCCUAGUACGAGAGGACCGGGAUGAACGAACCUCCAGUAUAUCUGUUGUCACAUCAGUGGCAUGGCAGAGUAGCUGUGUUCGGAUCGGAUAACCGCUGAAGGCAUCUAAGCGGGAAACCAUGCCUAAGAUUAGAUCUCUCAAUUAGCCUCCUGGAAGACUACCAGGUUGAUAGGUUACAGGUGCAAGCUCCGUGAGGAGUUCAGCCGAGUAAUACUAACAGGCGAUCGAACUUUUUUA